AACAUCGAUAUACGCGCGUCUCACUUCACAAAAACUAUCGCUCAUCACUAACAAACAAAACAAACCAAAAUGUAAACAAUGCAAACAAUUAUAAUGGACGGGAAAAAUGUGGUGUUUUGGUGGCUAUCGAUGACUUAGCCAAGCACGCCCACCCAACCAAGGAUGCCCCGGAGGAUUCUGCGGAGGCAUCACCCAUAAUCAGCUGGUCCAAGUCACUCCUCGCGACUAGGACAGCUCCAUCUCCCCCACAGCGACAACUCACUCGUACAUUUCAGUCUUCAUGUACAUUUAAUAUCCACACCUUUACGACCAAACUUGGCCGCCGUCUACAAAUCUACGCGGUCAAAGCGGAAGAUUACCUUCCUUUGGCAAAGGCUACAGGCGCCGCGGAAAUAAUGUUCCACCAGACAGGUAUUGGUGGAACUCGCAGUGGAACGAGGCGCAAAAAAAGGGCACACACUAGGUAUGUGUCGGGUCACCUAAUCCUGAGGAGCUCCUAGGGAAAAGAAGGGACAGGCCAAACGGCAACAACGAGGACAAGAAUUGAGGUUUUCGGGUCUAAGUCCGGAUAAAUUUACAGGUCAACAGCCACUUCUGGGCUAGGCGCCGGGCUAACUAUGCCCCGACUACAGUGUACUCUGCCGGAGGCCAGCAGCAAUAAUGGCCAGGAACACUACGAGGAGCGGUGGCGAAGGCGAGCCUGAUGGCGGUGCCUCUCAACGCCGCGCGAAAUGGGCAGCCAAGGGGACUUAACAGCCAGGAACGGACUCACCGGCGUAUUUUAUAAAAGCGUUGGCGGCGUCCGAGGAAGGCUAGUUAUGCUGGUCUGCUUCGUAUCGCUGGGUCGAACGAAGAAAUUUGCCUAUCAUGCCUAUAUCUCGCCAUAUUCCCUUCGCCUCUCUCGAAAUUGGGUCAUUGGACAUAUCAAGGCCAUCCUAGCCAUACCCAGAGCGAACCGGGCUAGUUUAAAUAGCUAGAUAGCCAAGACAUCAGCAGAAGGGGGCGCCACUCCAGUAGGAGUUGCCACCCUCCUACUUUAUCGAUAGCCCUACCAAAAACGAAUACCUCCUUCUUAAUUC